GACGAAGGUGGCGAGCGUUGUUCGGAAUCACUGGGCAUAAAGCGCACGUAGGCGGUGCCGUAAGUCGGAUGUGAAAUCCCUCGGCCUAACCGAGGAACUGCGUCCGAUACUGCGGUGCUUGAGGAUCAGAGGGGUGCAUGGAAUUUCCGGUGGAGCGGUGAAAUGCGUUGAUAUCGGAAAGAACACCAACGGCGAAAGCACUCUGCUGGGCCGACACUGACACUGAGAGACGAAAGCUAGGGGAGCAAAUGGG
rnacentral:rRNA from 1 species